CGGGGCCGUAGCGCAGAACUCGUCGCGUCGCAUUGCUCAUGCGAAGGACGCCGGUGGAAAUCCGGCCGGUCCCGCCC
rnacentral:tRNA from 1 species